GUAUUAUCCUACCAUAUUUAGUUCUAGAAUUAACGAAGGUACAAUUUUAUUCUUUGUCGCAAUACGUUUUCAUAAUAUGAACAAAUAUAACAUGAAUCUUUGUAUUGAUAAAAGCAGAACAGAAUUUUAUAAAAAAAACAAUGAACUGACUUACACCACUAUGUUCCUCUAUAACCAACCAUUUUAUAAUAUUAAUGUAAUAUAAAUAAAUAUUACAACUUAUUAUACUUAAAUGUUUAUGUUGGAAGGUGAAACUGAUUAUUGAUACAUCGAGUUAUUGAAAAUGUAAUCUUUUUAGGUACAAAAAGGAAGGAUUGAUUAAUAUUUCAGUUGAUGGUACGGUGAUCUCAAUCGGUGCCGAUGAACAGCUCACUUGUGCGUGGAGUUUUGACUCGUGUAGCCAUCGAAUGCAGGAAGGUGAGGUAAGAACAGAAUCAUGAAGCCAGAAGACUCAUGAAGGGAAAGGAGGCAGGUACGUAGGGAAAACGAUCCUUGGACGGCUCGUGGAAAACGAGUUGACAUUCCAGUGAACACCGAUGACGUUGUCCUUAACUGCGAUGUAGUCUCUCUUUUACUGGUUUGCGAUCUAAAUGCCGUCGAUCGAUUUCAUGUGCUCUUGAGACACUUUUUUUAGCUUCUUUCGUGCUCUCAUGCCAACCCUCUUUGGAAAAAUUUACGAAUUGAUGAGAAGAUAUUGAAUAUUAAUUGGUGUGUAAUCAUGAUAAAAACAUCUGAUAUAAAGGAGAUUAAAACAAAUUUUGUUUCAAAUUCCUAAGUAAACGAAAACAUAAACUAAAGAUGUUAUAAAUUAUGGAUGAUAAUUAAUACGACAAUUGAAAGAGGAAUUUUUAUCGAGGCUAGCUGGAACGUUUCGGAAUUCCAAAACAUAUACAGUAGAUUUUUUGCUAACAAGAACUGUAAACACUAUAUUUUUCUAGCGAGGUAACUGCGCACUCAACAAUUUGCGCAGCUAAACUUUCUCGAAUUCCUGUGUUUACAUUCUGCGUUCCUACAUGAUCUCACGGCUGCAUAUUGUUUCGCUAGUCUCCUCCAAGAAAUUACUCACAAUUCUGUUUACAAUCGUACAAAACUAUACAUAAGCAAGAAAAAAAGAAAUAGUUGAAAGAAGAAUGAAAUAUGGAUGGUUGUAAAACUUAUAUGUACAAAAUUUUGAUAAAUCGUGGAAUACCAAAACAGGUCAAGCGAAACAAAAAAACAAUAGCAGGAGAAGAAAUAUUUCUCAGAUUACUCCAGAGAAAAUGGUAGCGUUUCUAAGUAUGUACGUCGCAGUGACUGAUCGUUCUCAUUGAUGCGAGAUCUCUCGAGAGAGAGCAAGAAAAGAAAAUUUGUGGCGCGAUCGCGGGAGUAAGCGAAACUACGGAGUUAUAAAGAGUAUACCAUCGCGCCAUUCUCCUUGACGUGUCUUAGAAAACAAGCUACGGUUCCAGCGGACACUCAUUCAGUUUUUGUUUCGUUCUCACUGUCUAGUCGCGUUUUCACCUGGAAAGAUAUUACGCGAUCCGACAGUAUUAUGUCGCAUGAUAGAGGCGAUAUGAUGAGGUGGAAUGACGAAUUUCGAGAAAGGAAUGCAAUGACCAAGGAAAAGACUUUCAUCGAGUACCAAGAAUCCGUGAAGAAAUACGUAAACACGACAGAUAAUAAUAAUGGGUUAUGUCGACAAUGCUGCCUCGAAAACAGGUUAGAACGAAACGAAUGCGCAUAAUCAGGAUGUAGGAGGAUAAAUGAACGAGCUUACAAUGCAGAAUUAUGCAGAUGAGAGAGGCGCAAUUUCUUCAGGCAUAAUUAAGAAAAACGAAGAGGCGAGGUACGCCGAUGACGUUGCUGCCAUUAAACUUCCUCUCACUAGCAUUCUAUGUAUAAUGAGCUGUUACGCCAUACACACGAUAUUACCGUAGAAUACGCAGGGAGGAAUACAAAUACAAUGUGGUGGAUGGUGCAGGAAGAGCGCGACGAUAAAAAAAGGAAAAAACAAAAUGUCCUUCGUGGUGGAUCGAUUGAACGAUUAUUGAUAGCUCUUCAAGCUGAAUGUUAUUACUGGAUCAAAUUCCCUCGAAAUUAUCCUAAACAUUAUAUUGACUUAUUCUCUUCGGACCGAUUUAAUUUUCAUCUAAUUCUCGACAAGCAUGCACACACAUUCGAUUUCUUUUAACGAUCACAUUAAUAACUUUCUGUCUAAUCUCAGGGACAAAAUUGGAAAGAUCCGUACACGAACCGUGCAAUCGCUUCACUGAACCAUCAAAAAAGAUCCGACAAUACAAUCUUCCUACCUGUUGAAUUGUCCGGGAAAUUUCCAGCUGAUGCUUCGGUCACGCACACACAAAAUCACUGCACCAAGAAGUCCGUAAAUCUCAGACGACGCAUCUCUGAGGCGGCGUCAUCGUCGUUCAAAGAAAGAAACAACAAGAUCGUACGAGUGAUUCCACUCCAGCUAUUGCCGAGACGCAAGAAAAGUAAACGUCUGUCCGCGCGAUCGGUGAACCACGAUGAUUCACUGGAUAGUUGGAAGACGUGACUUUAGGACGUAGCCAUUUCGAUAUUGGGCGGUCAAUUGCGACGAUGCACGAUAAGAUCGUACAGUUUCGACAGGUGGUAGCUAUACACACAAA